ACCAUACAGUUGGUAGAGACUUUGUAAAAUACUAUAAGAAUACCAAUCAAUUCGAGCUUGAGAGAUUUCAUUGAUCUGGUAGCACUUCCGCCAUCGCGGCUAUCGAUAUACAUUUGCAAAUGUUUUUUUGCAUUGUUACAAUAGAAAGAGAAAGAUGGCUAACAUCCCUAAAAGGAGCUUCAUCUUGGAGCAGCUUCGAAAAUUGACGAUCGACCCGACCAGUACCAGGACGUGGGUUCCGCAUAAUGCUUACGUGGAAUUCCUGCACACGCAGGAGGAUAUUAUCCAAGACGAAGUCGUCAUGACGGCAUUCCGAGAUGCUAUUCAGGAUGAGGAGAAUGCUAUUCUCUUCAAAGGAGCCAGUGUGCUCGAAGUGGGCUGCGGCAGUGCCAUUCUCUCCAUGUGAGUGGCCAAGCAAGGAGCCGCUCGCGUCUUUGCCGUGGACGCUGGCGAUGUGGCGCAGGCCGCGCGGCAGGUGGUGCGCGAAAAUCACCUCGAUCAUGUGAUUGAAGUUAUGCAGGCCAACAUUGAGGAGCUGGAGGUGCCCCCAGUCGAUGUCAUAAUAUCCAAGUGGAUGGGGGCCUGUAUAGCACCACCCUGGACCAAGUUCUAUAUGCGCGCUACAAGUGGCUAAAGCCCACAGGCCGCAUCUUUCCGGAGAGAGCCAAGCUCUAUCUCUCGAUCGCUGACGACAAGAACAGCCUAAAGCCAAAGUAUUUUUGGAAAAAAUUCGAGGGGAUGGAUAUGCAUCGGGCUGCUCUCGCCGUGGAGCGUACAGCGAAGGUGACCGAAGUGCUGCCCGAGCAGAUGAUUUCCAAUCCCGAAGAAAUUUG